rnacentral:rRNA from 1 species
GGUCAAGCGAAUAAGCGCACACGGUGGAUGCCUUGGCGGUCAGAGGCGAUGAAGGACGUGGCAGCCUGCGAAAAGUAUCGGGGAGCUGGCAACAAGCUUUGAUCCGGUAAUGUCCGAAUGGGGAAACCCACCCGCUUGCGGGUAUCCUGCAGUGAAUACAUAGCUGCUGGAAGCGAACCUGGUGAACUGAAAUAUCUAAGUAACCAGAGGAAAAGAAAUCAACCGAGAUUCCGUAAGUAGCGACGAGCGAACGCGGACUAGCCCUUAAGCUGAUUUGGUUCUAGGAAAACGCUCUGGAAAGAGCGGCCAUAGAAGGUGAUAGCCCUGUAUCUGAAAGGGCCAUUUCAGUGAAGACGAGUAGGGCGGGGCACGUGAAACCCUGUCUGAACAUGGGGGGACCAUCCUCCAAGGCUAAAUACUACUGACCGACCGAUAGUGAACCAGUACCGUGAGGGAAAGGCGAAAAGAACCCCGGAGAGGGGAGUGAAAUAGAACCUGAAACCGUGUGCGUACAAGCAGUAGGAGCUCCGCAAGGAGUGACUGCGUACCUUUUGUAUAAUGGGUCAGCGACUUACUGUUCGUGGCAAGCUUAACCGUAUAGGGGAGGCGAAGGGAAACCGAGUCUGAUAAGGGCGCAUAGUCGCGGGCAGUAGACCCGAAACCGGGUGAUCUAGUCAUGCCCAGGGUGAAGGUGCGGUAACACGCACUGGAGGCCCGAACCCACUCCCGUUGCAAAGGUAGGGGAUGAGGUGUGAUUAGGAGUGAAAAGCUAAUCGAACCCGGAGAUAGCUGGUUCUCCUCGAAAGCUAUUUAGGUAGCGCCUCAUAUGUAUCCUCUCGGGGGUAGAGCACUGUUAUGGCUAGGGGGUCAUCGCGACUUACCAAACCAUUGCAAACUCCGAAUACCGAGACGGACUGUAUGGGAGACACACGGCGGGUGCUAACGUCCGUCGUGAAAAGGGAAACAACCCAGACCCACAGCUAAGGUCCCAAAUUUUGUGCUAAGUGGAAAACCAUGUGGAAAGGCACAGACAGCCAGGAGGUUGGCUUAGAAGCAGCCACCCUUUAAAGAAAGCGUAAUAGCUCACUGGUCGAGUCGGUCUGCGGGGAAGAUUUAACGGGGCUAAGCACAGAACCGAAGCUUGGGGUGCAUAACUUUGUUAUGCGCGGUAGAGGAGCGUUCCGUAAGCCGUUGAAGGUGGAUUGAGAAGUCUGCUGGAGGUAUCGGAAGUGCGAAUGCUGACAUGAGUAACGAUAAUGCGGGUGAAAAACCCGCACGCCGAAAGCCCAAGGUUUCCUUGCGCAACGUUAAUCGGCGCAGGGUGAGUCGGCCCCUAAGGCGAGGACGAAAGUCGUAGUCGAUGGGAAGCAGGUUAAUAUUCCUGCACCUCGCGUAAGUGCGAUGGAGGGACGGAGAAGGUUAGGUGUACCAGGCGUUGGUUGUCCUGGGGAAAGGCGGUAGGUUUGGAUCUUUGGCAAAUCCGGGAUCCUUUAAGACCGAGCACCGAGACGAGCCUUUAUGGCGAAGUCACUGAUACCACGCUUCCAGGAAAAGCUCCUAAGCUUCAGCUUACGCAGACCGUACCGUAAACCGACACAGGUGGGUAGGAUGAGAAUUCUCAGGCGCUUGAGAGAACUCGGGUGAAGGAACUAGGCAACAUGGCACCGUAACUUCGGGAGAAGGUGCACCCUUUUUGGUGGCUCGUGCGAGCUAUAGCUGAAGAGGGUCGCAGUAACCAGGCCGCUGCGACUGUUUAUCAAAAACACAGCACUCUGCAAACACGAAAGUGGACGUAUAGGGUGUGACGCCUGCCCGGUGCUGGAAGGUUAAUUGAUGGGGUCAGCCGCAAGGCGAAGCUCUUGAUCGAAGCCCCAGUAAACGGCGGCCGUAACUAUAACGGUCCUAAGGUAGCGAAAUUCCUUGUCGGGUAAGUUCCGACCUGCACGAAUGGCGUAACGACAGCGGCGCUGUCUCCACCCGAGACUCAGUGAAAUUGAAAUCGCUGUGAAGAUGCAGCGUUCCCGUGGCAAGACGGAAAGACCCCGUGAACCUUUACUAUAGCUUUACACUGAACGUUGAGUUCGUCUGUGUAGGAUAGGUGGGAGGCUAUGAAACUGUGGCGCUAGCUGCAGCGGAGCCAUCCUUGAAAUACCACCCUGUCGUGCUUGACGUUCUAACCUGGGCCCAUUAUCUGGGUCGGGGACCGUGUA